rnacentral:snRNA from 1 species
AGGACGUUUUUGGACUCAGGAA